UGGGGAAUAUUGCACAAUGGGCGAAAGCCUGAUGCAGCAACGCCGCGUGAGUGAUGAAGGCCUUCGGGUUGUAAAGCUCUGUCUUUUGGGACGAUAAUGACGGUACCAAAGGAGGAAGCCACGGCUAACUACGUGCCAGCAGCCGCGGUAAUACGUAGGUGGCAAGCGUUGUCCGGAUUUACUGGGCGUAAAGGAUGCGUAGGCGGAUUUUUAAGUGAGAUGUGAAAUACCCGGGCUUAACUUGGGUGCCGCAUUUCAAACUGGGAAUCUAGAGUGCGGGAGAGGAGAAUGGAAUUCCUAGUGUAGCGGUGAAAUGCGUAGAGAUUAGGAAGAACACCAGUGGCGAAGGCGAUUCUCUGGACCGUAACUGACGCUGAGGCAUGAAAGCGUGGGUAGCAAACAGGAUUAGAUACCCUGGUAGUCCACGCCGUAAACGAUGAGUACUAGGUGUAGGAGGUAUCGACCCCUUCUGUGCCGCAGUUAACACAAUAAGUACUCCGCCUGGGAAGUACGAUCGCAAGAUUAAAACUCAAAGGAAUUGACGGGGUC
rnacentral:rRNA from 1 species